rnacentral:rRNA from 1 species
GACGAACGCUGGCGGCGUGCUUAACACAUGCAAGUCGAACGGUGAAGCGCCUUCCUUUUUGGUGGGUGUGGAUGAGUGGCGAACGGGUGAGUAACACGUGAGUAACCUGCCCCCUUCUUCUGGAUAACCGCAUGAAAGUGUGGCUAAUACGGGAUAUUCUGGGUCUGUCGCAUGAUGGGUCUGGGAAAGAUAUUGUUUCGGUGGGGGAUGGGCUCGCGGCCUAUCAGCUUGUUGGUGGGGUGAUGGCCUACCAAGGCGGUGACGGGUAGCCGGCCUGGGAGGGUGGACGGUCACACUGGGACUGAGACACGGCCCAGACUCCUACGGGAGGCAGCAGUGGGGAAUAUUGCACAAUGGGCGCAAGCCUGAUGCAGCGACGCCGCGUGAGGGAUGGAGGCCUUUGGGUUGUGAACCUCUUUCGCCAGUGAAGCAGGCCUGCCUCGUUUGUGGGUGGGUUGACGGUAGCUGGAUAAGAAGCGCCGGCUAACUACGUG